GAUGAACGCUGGCGGCGUGCCUAACACAUGCAAGUCGAGCGAAGUUUAAAAGAAGUACUUGUACGGAAAUUAAACUUAGCGGCGGACGGGUGAGUAACACGUGAGCAACCUACCUUUCACUGUGGAAUAACAACGGGAAACCGUUGCUAAUACCGCAUAACAUCUUACCUGGGCAUCCAGGAAAGAUCAAAGAUUUAUCGGUGAAAGAUGGGCUCGCGUCCGAUUAGUUAGUUGGUGGGGUAAUGGCCUACCAAGACCGCGAUCGGUAGCCGAACUGAGAGGUUGAUCGGCCACAUUGGGACUGAGGUACGGCCCAGACUCCUACGGGAGGCAGCAGUGGGGAAUAUUGGGCAAUGGGCGAAAGCCUGACCCAGCAACGCCGCGUGAAGGAUGAAGGUCUUCGGAUUGUAAACUUCUUUGGUCAGGGACGAAAAAAAUGACGGUACCUGAAGAACAAGCCACGGCUAACUACGUGCCAGCCGCCGCCGUAAAAC
rnacentral:rRNA from 1 species